GCCAGAUUCACACAAACCUGAACCUCUCUCUCUCUCUUUUCGGUAAAGAACGGGGCAAGGAAACAAUCGCCGUUAACAACCUGAAACCAACAAAUUACCACGUGGUCAAUACAUCCUUUGAAAGGGCAGAUCCACAUUAGUCCAAAUGUUGCGUGGCUACUUCAGAAGUUUCUCUCCUGAACCAAUGACACCAGGUGCAACACACAAGGUGGGAAGUGCGCCAGAAUCUGACUGAAGGAUCAGAUGCAUUGUGAGAUUUAUCCAUUGUGGAGGUCAUCAGGGGUGGAGAAGGAGAAGAUCUCACAGCGGGCCUCUGCUGACGCCGUUGUGAAAAGCUUGGUUGAAGUGCCUUUGGAACCAUUGAACCCUAGAAUACUACAGUUCCCACAGUAACAAGGGGGCAUAGUUUGCCCUCUAGUCCUGAUCCGGUGCUACGCAGAAAGGCUUUCUGAACAGGAGUGCUCCACGUUUCUGGAAUGGCUCAGACGGGGAGCU